AUUUAUACCAGCCCAAAAAGCUUAAUUCCAUGGCCUCUCCAACCACUUCUCUUUUAGCUCUAGUACUUAUCGUCAUAGCUACAAGCCUACCCGCGGCCCAUGCAUUCACCAUAAAUGGCCAAACUGUGCUUGGAAUACAAGUGAGUGGCACCUUAGCUUGUUCAACAACUGGUAACUUCCCAGGAAAUGGCAUUGUUGGAGUCCUUGCUAAUGUCACUUGCAAUGUUAAUGGAACUCCAACUGUGCUUGGUAUUGCUACAACCAAUCUAAAUGGAGUUUUUGUUGCUCUAAUUACUAACUAAAGUGGCCUUGACCCUAGCACCCUAUCAUGUGUUGUUAGAGAAAUACAGAAAAAGGAGAGACAGAGAAGGAAUGAGAUUUUACAAGAAUGACUAUCCUAAUUAGAAGGAUCAGACUUUAUAAGAACUAUGAAAUUACCAAAGUCCUAGUGUAGAUGUUGGAAAUUUUUUUUUGAAGAAAAUUAUAUAUGGUAUGGUUGAAAUGAAAAAUCAGAUUUAAUCUUAUUUGGAAAAUACAUGAAUUGAAGAAAAAAUCAAACGGUAAUUGGAGGAAACUUGACACAAAAGAUGAUAAGUGAAAAUAUAUCAAGGUAUGAAGUUUCCAAUGUUAGUUGUGUUAGUUUCAACUGAGUGCGUUAAUGAAGGCAGAACACCACUUCAUUGAUGAGAUAGUCUCACUUAAUCUUGAAUCUACUGAAAUGAUAACCAAAAGGGAGAGACAAUUCUCCAUUUGGCUGUCAAGAAUAACCAUUUUGAAGUUUCUGAUGUUGUUGAUGAGAGGAUGCAACAGAAAAUGGAGGAAAUGGAAGAGAGGAUGGAACAAAGAAUGUUGGAAAAUUUGAACGAACAAAAGGAUGCUAUGGAACAACAUAUUACAAUGAACGUCGUCGCACUACUUCAGCGUCUGAACCCAGAAUUGUGACUUGAUGCUGACAUGCUAAGGUUCGUAGAAGCUUCCUAUGCACAACAAGUUGCUGUUCAACUAAACAAUCUACCAUCUGCCGGUAGUACCAAUCAAGGUGGAGUAAAUCAAGAAAUCGAAGAAGAUGAAAGUGAAGAACUAGACCUUGCUUGAGAUGAAUUUUGAAUGGCUAUAGAUGAAUGUUCUAUAGGAAUCUUUUGUUAUCAACCUUUUUGAAACUAAUUACUCUCUUGAAAUGUAUGAAACUUAUGCAUUAGGGGUAGAACAUUUGCUUUAUAUGAAUAUUAUUUGCUUGAUGGAUAAUUUGUAUUAUUAAAAAUUUGAUUUUAUGAUUUA